rnacentral:lncRNA from 1 species
AGCCCCGCGCCACCCACUCCAUCAUCUCCCAAGCCGCCGUUGCCCCCUAGCCCCAAGUCGCCUGUGCCUCCCAGUCCGAGACCACCUUCACCUUCGCCGCCGCAGCCGCCUAGCCCUGCGCCGCCGUUGCCCCCUAGCCCCAAGCCGCCUGUGCCUCCAAGUCCUAGACCACCUUCACCUUCGCCGCCGCAGCCGCCUAGCCCUGCGCCGCCGUUGCCCCCUAGCCCCAAGCCGCCUGUGCCUCCCAGUCCUGGACCACCUUCACCUUCGCCGCCGCAGCCGCCCAGCCCUGCGCCGCCGUCACUUGCACCUCCCAGCCCCAACCCACCUGCGCCGCCCAGCCCCGCGCCUCCCUCGCCGCAGCCGUCUAGCCCCUCGCCUCCAUCGCCGCAUCCGCCUAGCCCUGCGCCUCCGUCGCCUACGCCUCCCAGCCCUGCUCCGCCGGCACCGCCCAGCCCGAAGCCGCCCAGCCCGACGCCGCCGAUACCCCCUAGCCCUAAGCCGCCGGCGCCUCCCAGUCCUAAGCCGCCUGUACCGCCGAGCCCGCGGCCGCCGUCACCACCUCGCCCGCCGCUUCCUCCGUUGCCCUCCAACGACUGCGUGUACCGCGGCUCCUUUGACACCCCGGUGGAUGUUAAGCGCGGCCCUGCGGUCACGUGUGCAGACCAGGCCGCCUGCCUGGACGUGAUCUUUGACGGCUCGCAGUGCGAGCAGGAUUACGCGGAUGUGGACGAGGUGGAGGAUCUGCAGCAGGGCGAUGGGGACAGCAGCAGCACUACUAGUACGGACGGGCAGCAAGGCAGCAGCUCCAGCCGGCGCCGGCGCUUGCAGACGACCAGCAGCAGCGACGACGGCCCAUAUCAGCAGGAUGUGUAUACGUACUGCAAGGUGUGCCUGGCGUGGUCCAACGCCCGUGGCGGCUGCGGCAAAGACACGCGCGACACGCUGAGCCACGUGUGCAGCGCGGACCGCUUCAUGGCCGUUGUGCCAGGGGCGGGCCAAGCGCCUGUGGUGGGCUCCACCAACAAGCUCAACAACUGGGAGAGCGGAGACCAGAGUGAGUGAUCAAGGCACGUUGCCUGCGUGCUUUACCCACUUUGAUUCGCAGAGCAAGCUCACGUGCUCUCGGCGGCCGCCUGCGUGCUAGUGCAUGCUGUAAGCGUACGUGCGACCACACCUAGCUACCUGAAGUGAAGUCGCAGGUGCUGAUGCAUCUGCUGUAUGCAUGAUUGCCCGCUUUGGAUGCAGACCGCUAUUGCCAAUGGGUGCGCUGGAACAGCAGCAGUACCUGGACCGAGGUGUACUGGAGCAUCAAAGACGGCAACGGCGAGUGCCUUCCUGCCGGCCAGACGGCGCCCCUGUCGGUCACUCUGCAGGGCCUGCGCGCGCAGUGCGGCGGGCGUCGCCGUAUUAACAGCACCACUGUAGCAGGCUGUGACAAGGGCAGUCAGUCCAACGAGUGCCUGUGGCGCAUUGACUUGCCUCUUCCCGGCUCCCCCGACUUUCAGUGCCGUGCGCCAUCGCCGCCCAGCCCGCGGCCGCCGGUGCCGCCUAGCCCUUCCCCACCCGCUCCACCCAGCCCUCGGCCGCCAGCGCCGCCCAGCCCCAAGCCUCCCUCACCGCAGCCGCCUAGCCCCGCGCCGCCGUCGCCUGCACCUCCCAGCCCUCGGCCGCCUGCGCCUCCCAGCCCUGCUCCGCCGGCGCCGCCCAGCCCCGCGCCUCCCUCGCCGCAGCCACCUAGCCCUGCGCCACCGUCGCCUGCGCCUCCCAGCCCUGCUCCGCCGGCGCCGCCUAGCCCCGCGCCGCCGUCGCCUGCACCUCCCAGCCCUCGGCCGCCUGCGCCUCCCAGCCCUGCUCCGCCAGCGCCGCCCAGCCCCGCGCCUCCCUCACCGCAGCCACCUAGCCCUGCGCCACCGUCGCCUGCGCCUCCCAGCCCUGCUCCGCCGGCGCCGCCUAGCCCCGCGCCGCCGUCGCCUGCACCUCCCAGCCCUGCGCCACCGUCGCCUGCGCCUC